CUUUGAAACACCGGUUCCCGUACUAUCACAGAAGUUAAGCAACGCAAAGUCUGGUCAAUAUCUAGAUGAGUGACUGCUUGGGAAUACCAGGUGCUGU